AAAGGUCAAGCACGAGAUUAAUAAUCAGACAAGGAGCUACUGUACCACAGAAAGUUUCUAUCAGGUUGAGUAGCUGCCGAUGGUGAUGAAGUGACGAGCGGGACUCUUUUGUCUUAUUAUGUAUUAAUGAACUCUAGGGAUACAUGUCUUCAUACAUGUAUUCAGAACCUUAUUCCGCUGCGUACUCAGAAGUGUUAUGUUAUUUUGGCUAAGUCGGAGUUAUCCGAACUUACUAGUUAUUUGAGUCUAUACGACGAAACCUCCGUUAUAUUAUAAAUAUUCCUUUUGUUAACAA